rnacentral:rRNA from 1 species
GGACUACCCGGGUAUCUAAUCCCGUUUGCUCCCCUGGCUUUCGCGCCUCAGCGUCAGAAAAGGUCCAGCGUGCCGCCUUCGCCACCGGAGUUCCUUCUGAUAUCAACGCAUUUCACCGCUCCACCAGAAGUUCCGCACGCCCCUACCUCACUCGAGACACACAGUAUCCACGGCAGUUCCCCGGUUGGGCCGGGGGAUUUCACCACAGACUUGCAUGCCCGCCUACGCGCCCUUUAAGCCCAGUGAUUCCGAACAACGUUUGCACGGUUCGUCUUACCGCGGCUGCUGGCAC